rnacentral:rRNA from 1 species
UGGGGAAUUUUGGACAAUGGGCGAAAGCCUGAUCCAGCAAUGCCGCGUGUGUGAAGAAGGCCUUCAGGUUGUAAAGCACUUUUGUCCGGAAAGAAAUCCUUGGCUCUAAUACAGUCGGGGGAUGACGGUACCGGAAGAAUAAGCACCGGCUAACUACGUGCCAGCAGCCGCGGUAAUACGUAGGGUGCAAGCGUUAAUCGGAAUUACUGGGCGUAAAGCGUGCGCAGGCGGUUUGCUAAGACCGAUGUGAAAUCCCCGGGCUCAACCUGGGAACUGCAUUGGUGACUGGCAGGCUAGAGUAUGGCAGAGGGGGGUAGAAUUCCACGUGUAGCAGUGAAAUGCGUAGAGAUGUGGAGGAAUACCGAUGGCGAAGGCAGCCCCCUGGGCCAAUACUGACGCUCAUGCACGAAAGCGUGGGGAGCAAACAGGAUUAGAUACCCUGGUAGUCCACGCCCUAAACGAUGUCAACUAGUUGUUGGGGAUUCAUUUCCUUAGUAACGUAGCUAACGCGUGAAGUUGACCGCCUGGGGAGUACGGUCGCAAGAUUAAAACUUAAAGGAAUUGACGGGGUCAUAGCUGUUUCCU